rfam:Schistosoma mansoni, Puerto Rico, WGS project CABG01000000 data, contig: 0094
AUCCAUCUGAUGAGUCCCAAAUAGGACGAAACACGCGUCCUGGAU